rnacentral:rRNA from 1 species
UACGUAGGGCGCAAGCGUUGUCCGGAAUUAUUGGGCGUAAAGAGCUCGUAGGCGGUUUGUCGCGUCUGCUGUGAAAACCUAAGGCUCAACCUUGGGCUUGCAGUGGGUACGGGCAGACUAGAGUGCGGCAGGGGUGACUGGAAUUCCUGGUGUAGCGGUGGAAUGCGCAGAUAUCAGGAGGAACACCGAUGGCGAAGGCAGGUCACUGGGCCGCAACUGACGCUGGAGGAGCGAAAGCAUGGGGAGCGAACAGG